rnacentral:rRNA from 1 species
CCUACGGGUGGCAGCAGUAGGGAAUAUUGGGCAAUGGGCGCAAGCCUGACCCAGCAACGCCGCGUGAAGGAAGAAGGCUUUCGGGUUGUAAACUUCUUUUGACAGGGAAGAGCAGAAGACGGUACCUGUCGAAUAAGCCACGGCUAACUACGUGCCAGCAGCCGCGGUAAUACGUAGGUGGCAAGCGUUGUCCGGCUUUACUGGGUGUAAAGGGUGCGCAGGCGGGCCUUUAAGCCGGCGGUGAAAUCGCGGGGCUCAACCCCGCCGAGCCGUCGGAACUGGGGGCCUUGAGUGCGGCGGAGGCAUGCGGAAUGCGCGGUGUAGCGGUGAAAUGCAUAGAUAUCGCGCAGAACCCCGAUUGCGAAGGCAGCGUGCCGUGCCGCCACUGACGCUGAGGCACGAAAGCGCGGGGAUCGAACAGGAUUAGAUACCCUUGUAGUC